CGGAACAUUUUUUACUUUAGUGGCGGACGGGUGAGUAACGCGUGGGUAACCUGCCUUAUACAGGGGGAUAACACUUAGAAAUAGGUGCUAAGACCGCAUAAGCGCCCAGGGCCGCAUGGCCCAGGGUGAAAAACUCCGGUGGUAUAAGAUGGGCCCGCGUCUGAUUAGCCAGUUGGCAGGGUAACGGCCUACCAAAGCGACGAUCAGUAGCCGGCCUGAGAGGGUGGACGGCCACAUUGGGACUGAGACACGGCCCAAACUCCUACGGAAGGCAGCAG
rnacentral:rRNA from 1 species